AAGUCGUAACAAGGUUUCCGUAGGUGAACCUGCGGAAGGAUCAUUACCGAAGUCAAGGCCCCUUCGGGGGCUAAACUUCCACCCUUUGUUUACCUUACCAUUGUUGCUUUGGCGGGCCGCCUUAGGCCACCGGCUCUCGAGCUGGUGCGUGCCCGCCAGAGACCCCCAAACCCAAACCAUAUUUAGUGUCGUCUGAAAACAAGUUUAAAUUAUUUAAAACUUUCAACAACGGAUCUCUUGGCUCUC
rnacentral:misc_RNA from 1 species